AUGAACGCUGGCGGCGUGCCUAAUACCUGCCAGUCGAGCGAACGGACGAGAAGCUUGCUUCUCUGAUGUUAGCGGCGGACGGGUGAGUAACACGUGGAUAACCUACCUAUAAGACUGGGAUAACUUCGGGAAACCGGAGCUAAUACCGGAUAAUAUUUUGAACCGCAUGGUUCCAAAGUGAAAGACGGUCUUGCUGUCACUUAUAGAUGGAUCCGCGCUGCAUUAGCUAGUUGGUAAGGUAACGGCUUACCAAGGCAACGAUGCAUAGCCGACCUGAGAGGGUGAUCGGCCACACUGGAACUGAGACACGGUCCAGACUCCUACGGGAGGCAGCAGUAGGGAAUCUUCCGCAAUGGGCGAAAGCCUGACGGAGCAACGCCGCGUGAGUGAUGAAGGUCUUCGGAUCGUAAAACUCUGUUAUUAGGGAAGAACAUAUGUGUAAGUAACUGUGCACAUCUUGACGGUACCUAAUCAGAAAGCCACGGCUAACUACGUG
rnacentral:rRNA from 1 species